rnacentral:rRNA from 1 species
CCUACGGGGGGCAGCAGUCGAGAAUCAUUCACAAUGGGGGAAACCCUGAUGGUGCGACGCCGCGUGGGGGAAUGAAGGUCUUCGGAUUGUAAACCCCUGUCAUGUGGGAGCAAAUUAAAAAGAUCGUACCACAAGAGGAAGAGACGGCUAACUCUGUGCCAGCAGCCGCGGUACUACAGAGGUCUCAAGCGUUGUUCGGAAUCACGGGGCGUAAAGCGUGCGUAGGCUGUUUCGUAAGUCGUGUGUGAAAGGCGCGGGCUCAACCCGCGGACGGCACAUGAUACUGCGAGACUAGAGUAAUGGAGGGGGAACCGGAAUUCUCGGUGUAGCAGUGAAAUGCGUAGAUAUCGAGAGGAACACUCGUGGCGAAGGCGGGUGCCUGGACAUUAACUGACGCUGAGGCACGAAGGCCAGGGGAGCGAAAGGGAUUAGAUACCCCGGUAGUC